rfam:Ruegeria pomeroyi DSS-3, complete genome.
GGCUAAAUGAAGGGGUCUGGUCCUGCCGGAGCAAUCCGGAUGCUAAGAGGGAAUUUGGUGCGACCGCCCGUCGGUUCAGGCCAAAGCCGCCCCCGCGACUGUAAGCGGUGAGCCUCUGUUCAACCAGCCACUCCCGGGUUCGCCCCCGGGGGGAAGGCGAACAGAGGCACUGACCCGCGAGCCAGGAGACCUGCCAGACAGGCACUGUAACA